CACGCAGUAUGUCGGUGCCCGCCGCGAUGGUCUCCAAUGGCAGGUGUUUGUGUAUAUUUGAAUUAUCGUCUUUUAUUGUGCGAAUCUGACGUGAUGGUGCCUCCUUUCCCGCUCCUGAGUGAUGGUGGGCGGCACCGGAACUGACAGAGGACCGGACAUGCAGUGUUUGGUGCCGUGGGGAAUGUGUCACUUCUGGACGAGUGACGCAAAACUCUCACGUUCAAUGAAGGCUCACCGCAAAGACUCUACAUCGGUGUGCUUGCGUGGUCACGUUACGUAGAGUGCCUUGGUGAAGUGUUUUCGGUCUCACUGGACUUCGGCGUUUCACUCAUCGCCGCCACAAGUCAGCGCACAGGAUAAAAGAGAAUAAGUGAAACAAAAAACGGUGAUUUUGCAAACACUGAGAUGAGCGGAAUGAACCACAGAAAACGAGAAGCGGUGGCCCCGUAAAAGGCCUCACCACCACCACCACCACCACCACCACCACCACCACCGUCGCCACCAUCGCCACUCACCCUGCCGCCGCCUCCCGCCCGUCCUUGUGGUGCGGGCGGAGACGUGGCACCAGCGCAACGUGGGUGAAGGCGGGGCGGUGAGAGUGAGAGGGGGAUUCCAUGAUGCAAAUCCUGACGUCACGGCCACGUCACAACCCACGCGGCGAACUUGCUCCGGUGGUUUUCACGCGCGGGAUAAAAAGCAAAGUGAAAUCAAGAUCAGAAAGGAAGUUAAUCGUGACUGAAAUUGGGGAGAAAAUGAAUUCCUUGCAUGGGAGAAGUGAGUCAUAUCAUUCACAGAUUUGUUUUGUAACCCUCCUGGCUUGCCCUACCACACCUCCUCCUCCUCCUCCUCCUCCUCCUCCUCCUCCUCCUCCUCCUCCCUUCCCGGAACCUUGCCGAGCGGGUGCCAAGGCAGCAAGGUAUCUGGCACAGUGCACGCCGUGGGGGAGGUGAUGGUGCUGCUGUUGAUAGGUGGUAUUUAAUGGGGCCCGUAGGUGCGAUGGUAGGUGGUGAUGAAUUGUAGCAGUAGGUGGCACGAAGAUUUACCGUGCGUUGCGUGAGACUUCAGGGAACUCGCGUAGCAGUAGUAGGUGGCGAUGUGGGUGGUUGCAGGUACUAAGGGAGGAGUCAAGUGUGGUUUAUUAUGGUCCAAGGAAGGAAGGAUGCUCAGAGUUCAUUAUGAGGAGAUUUAUUCUGAAUUUCCUAUAUCUUGGAGGGUUAAGAGGUACUCGUAGAUUGGAUAGCGGAUGCGGACGGAUGACCAGUGUUGUGUGCUUGUUAGUUGAGUUGUGGUAGGUUGUUAGAGGAGGAGGAGAGGUUGUGGUAGGGAUGUAGGGAAGAGAAUGGAAGGAUAGGAGAGGGAACACACCUGGCGUCAGUGGCUGGUUCUGGCAACACAAGUACAAUUCACAACACAAUACGUAUGCACCUUAAUAACUUCAUCACACGUACGUACACUGUAACUCUCUCUCUCUCUCUCUCUCUCUCUCUCUCUCUCUCUCUCUCUCUCUCUCUCUCUCUCUCUCUCUCUCUCUCUCUCUCUCUCUCUCUCUCUCUCUCUCUCUCUCUCUCUCUCUCUCUCUCUCUCGCUUAUUCUCGAACACACGUUGCUGAGAAAUAAACAGGAAUAUGAUGAGAUACAAAUACUCCUUAGUCAGUCAGUCAGUCAGUCAGUGGGUCAGUGAGUGGGUCAGUCAGUGAGUCAGUAGGACAGUGGUGAGGGACAGGUGAGGCGGGCAGGUAAUGACACGCAGCUGCAAGUGUAACAAUACGCUAUUGGUGAUACAAUGGCCUGGAAAAUACUUAGGCCAUUAUCCCAGGCACGUUGAUGGUGGUGGUGGUGGUGGUGGUGGUGGUAGGGGUGGUGGUGGUAGGAGUGGUGGUGGUGAUGGUGGUGGUGGUUUUGCUUGUUGUUGUUUUGUGGUGAGUGUGGUGGUGGUGGUUGUGUCUACUGUACAUGUACACUAUCUUCAUCUUCGUUGUUGUUGUUGUUAUUGUUGUUGCUUUUGUUUACUAUUGCCAUUUUCAAUUUGUUGUUGACUGGUUAUUUUUCUGCUGUUAUUAUUGUUCACUCUUUGUGGUCUCUUUGUUGGCGUCAAUUGACUGACUGAUUUAUUUAUUGAUUGACUGAUUAUUGUUGUUGUUGUUGUUGUUGUCGUCUUUGUAGUUUAUAGUCACUGUAGUCUUAACUAAUGGGGAGUGGUGAUGGUGAUAUUUACAUUGAUACUGUUAC